GACGAACGCUGGCGGCGUGCUUAACACAUGCAAGUCGAACGGUGAAGCGCCUUCCUUUUUGGUGGGAGUGGAUGAGUGGCGAACGGGUGAGUAACACGUGAGUAACCCGCCACCUUCUUCUGGAUAACCGCAUGAAAGUGUGGCUAAUACGUGAUAUUCUGAGUCUGUUGCAUGAUGGGUUUGGGAAAGAUUUUGUUUCGGUGGGGGAUGGGCUCGCGGCCUAUCAGCUUGUUGGUGGGGUGAUGGCCUACCAAGGCGGUGACGGGUAGCCGGCCUGAGAGGGUGGACGGUCACACUGGGACUGAGACACGGCCCAGACUCCUACGGGAGGCAGCAGUGGGGAAUAUUGCACAAUGGGCGCAAGCCUGAUGCAGCGACGCCGCGUGAGGGAUGGAGGCCUUCGGGUUGUGAACCUCUUUCGCCAGUGAAGCAGGCCUGCCUCGUUUGUGGGUGGGUUGACGGUAGCUGGAUAAGAAGCGCCGGCUAACUACGUG
rnacentral:rRNA from 1 species